CUUGGAAUAAUUAUCGAAAAUCGGGAAUUGUCUCUUAAACGAGUAAAUCUUCGCUGAAGUAAAUCUAGAAUAGAAAUAAAACAGAAACUUUGAAGGGAGGAAAGGUGCGUGAAGGGCGGUACCGCUUACGCAUCGGUCCGGAACUUUCAGUUUUGACCGCCAGAUGACGCAUGCACGGCAGGUCGUCGAGCAAGAUGGCGGAAGCAGACGAAAGCCGUCGACGUAUCCAAUGUUUAAAACUGUUUUUCGAUGUGAAUUAAAUAUCGGCGACUUAAUAGGAUUAACGACCAUCUACGAAACGUUGACGUUAACGAAAAACAUCUCGCCUGUGAGAAUCAUGCGCCUCAAAAGUCAGAACUGGCUUCUUCGGAUGCCACUUCGCACUCCUGUCGUUAUGCCCAGAACCACGUAUC
rnacentral:lncRNA from 1 species